rfam:Otolemur garnettii contig046300, whole genome shotgun sequence.
GAGAGACAUCCCAGACACAUUCACACUGGGCCAAGAGCAGCUGCCAUUGCAGAAUCCAGCCAUGUCCUUCCGUCACACCUUCUCUUUCUUGGAGUUAGUCAGAACAGAAGCUGGGGAUGUGGGGGAAG